rnacentral:rRNA from 1 species
GAUGAACGCUGGCGGCGUGCCUAAUACAUGCAAGUCGAGCGAACAGACGAGGAGCUUGCUCCUCUGACGUUAGCAGCGGACGGGUGAGUAGCACGUGGAUAACCUAUCUAUAAGACUGGGAUAACUGCGGGAAACCGGAGCUAAUACCGGAUAAGAUAUUGAACCGCAGGGUUCAAGAGUGAAAGAUGGUUUUGGUGUCGAUUAUAGAUCGAUCCGCGCGGCAUUAGCUAGUUGGCAAGGUAACGGCUUACCAAGGAAACGAUGGGAAGCCGACCUCGGCGGGUGAUCGGCCACCCUGGAACUGAGACACCCUCCCGACUCCUACGGGAGGCAGCAGUCGGGAAUGUUCCGCAAUGGGCGGAAGCUUUACGGAGCAACGCCGCGUGAGUGGUAAAGGUCUUCGGAUCGUAAAACUCUGUUAUUAGGGAAAAACAAAUGUGUAAGUAACUAUACACAUCUUGACGGUACCUACUCAGAAAGCCCCGGCUAACUACGUG